AUCAAAAACAUGUCUUUCUUGAGUAAUAAGGAAGUCUUACCUGCUCACUGAUUAUAAUUAAAGAGCCGCGGUAUCUUGACCGUGCAAAGGUAGCAUAAUCAUUAVUCUUUUAAUUGAAGGCUGGAAUGAAUGGUGUGACGAAAUAAUAGCUGUCUCCUAAUAACAUAUUGAAUUUUAUUUUUAAGUUAAAAGGCUUAAAUGCUUAUAAGGGACGAGAAGACCCUAUAGAUCUUUAUAACUUAAUAUUUAAAGUGAUUAUUAGGCGUGUAUAGGGUUUAAAUAUUAAGUUAUUUUGUUGGGGUGACAUGAGAAUAGAUUAACUUUUUAAAAAAAGUAACUAGGAUGAAAGGAUUUAUGAUCUUUUAUUAAAAAAGUUAGAUUAAGAUACCUUAGGGAUAACAGCGUUAUUUUAUUUGAGAGUUCAUAUCGACAAUAAAGUUUGCGACCUCGAUGUUGGAUUAAGAUUAUAAGUUGGUGCAGAAAUCAAUUUAUUUAGUCUGUUCCGACUAUUAAAUUCUUACAUGAUCUGAG
rnacentral:rRNA from 1 species